UUGCUUCAGCAGCUCAUGUACUAAAAUUGGAAUGAUACAGAGAAGAUUAGCACAGCCCCUGUGCAAGGAUGAUAUGUGAAUUUGUGAAGUGUUCCAUAAUCAA
rnacentral:snRNA from 1 species